rnacentral:lncRNA from 1 species
GCAAAGGGGUGGCGGAUCUAGCAAGGGAAUGGCGAUGCGAGAACUUUGGCAGUGCGGGGAUGGCGAAGGGGGAGGCAGCAGCACGUGGACAAGGAGGGCAUGAGCAGGGGAACCAAGAGGGGACACGGUGCAAGGAAUCCGGCAAGCAGACGGCAACAAUGAAGAAGCAACAUAGGGAUGUCGGUAGGCACUAGGAGAGGG